UACGAAGGGUGCAAGCGUUGUUCGGAAUUACUGGGCGUAAAGCGCGCGUAGGUGGUUUGAUAAGUUGGGAGUGAAAUCCCGGGGCUUAACUCCGGAAUUGCUUUCAAGACUGUCAAGCUAGAGUAUAGUAGGGGACAGUGGAAUUCCUAGUGUAGAGGUGAAAUUCGUAGAUAUUAGGAGGAACACCAGUGGCGAAAGCGACUGUCUGGACUAUUACUGACACUGAGGCGCGAAAGCGUGGGGAGCAAACAGG
rnacentral:rRNA from 1 species